AAAGCCUGAUCCAGCCAUGCCGCGUGUGUGAAGAAGGCUUUCGGGUUGUAAAGCACUUUCAGCGAGGAAGAAGGCCUGAUGAUUAAUACUUGUCAGGAAGGACAUCACUCGCAGAAGAAGCACCGGCUAACUCCGUGCCAGCAGCCGCGGUAAUACGGAGGGUGCAAGCGUUAAUCGGAAUUACUGGGCGUAAAGCGCGCGUAGGUGGCUUGAUAAGCCGGUUGUGAAAGCCCCGGGCUCAACCUGGGAACUGCAUCCGGAACUGUUAGGCUAGAGUGCAGGAGAGGAAGGUAGAAUUCCCGGUGUAGCGGUGAAAUGCGUAGAGAUCGGGAGGAAUACCAGUGGCGAAGGCGGCCUUCUGGACUGACACUGACACUGAGGUGCGAAAGCGUGGGUAGCAAACAGGAUUAGAUACCCUGGUAGUCCACGCCGUAAACGAUGUCGACUAGCCGUUGGGAGCCUC
rnacentral:rRNA from 1 species